GUUAUGAUGUCCUUCUGACGUUGUGGUACCCAGAUUGCCCCCAGCACUCGCAGCGGGCAGGGCAUGGGGCCUUCAGUCACCUGGCAGCGCUGGGCCUGCUGCGCCACAGGGCACGGUUACACAUCUAGUGCACACUGCUCAGAUCGUGCUUGCUAGCAGCCAGAGCUAGAGCUUGGAGGCCUAAUUUGGUUGUAGAAUUGUUUGUAAAAACACAGAACUGGCCUCAAAAUGGAGCCUCGGGGAACCCUGCUGUGACUGACCCCCAGCCUGCUGUAACCCCAUUUCCUACCACCCUUUGAGCUCAGUCCUUCAGCCGGUUGUUCACCCAUCCUAUUACAGGAAAUCCUUGGUACACAGCCAGCAAUGCGAAGCGGAUGAAAUCCCCAGCCUCCUGUUGACUCCAAGAUUGCAAAUUGCCUGCGUACAGAAUCAAUUAAAAAUAAUUCCGAACAUUAACAAAGUAAUGUAGUGAAAUGAGUGACUUGUUUAUUUUCUCUCUCUCCUUGCCUUUCUCCUUGCUGGGGGCAACAUGAGCUGGCAGUAGGGCUGUUAGUUCUCAGAAGUCUUCAUGCUUCGAUCAAAUUGUUUAUUUCUGCCCCCAAAGUCCUGCUACUGCUGGUUAGGAGACCAAAAACCCCUGGCUCUUAUCAGUGGGGUCAAGGCUGAGGCUUUGGGGUCCUGCUGCUGCUGGUUAGGGAGUCCAAAAAUCCCUACCUGUGAUCAGUGAGGUAGAGAAUUUGGGCAGACGUGUCAUGCCCUGUCAUAACCCGGAUUCCCCAUCUCUUUAUGCAUAGUUCUUCAUUAACCUCGUUUGGGAUGGAAACUGGUGCAAGAUGCUGCGCUGAGGGCUUCUGCUGAUCUACUUGUGGGGCUGAGGGCACGCAGCAACCUGUUCUGCAAUGUCUUGUUGGCCUCAGACUGCAUCAUAUGCACAGCACCCAGCCCAGCACCCCUGAGGUGUGGACAAAUUUGAAUCUGGGGUCUGUUCAGCCCCCUCCGAUUCUUAUGCCAACCCCUCCUUUCUGGGAAUAAAACCCCCACAAAAAUAAGAAAACAAUUGGAAAUUAAUGUUCAAUUACACGGUGGCAGAUAAGUGAAAUGAAUCAAUCUGUGGCAGGGCAGAUAAGCACAAGCCUCUGGCCCGGAGGAGCAGCUGCCUGCUGAGGGAGAUAACAAGGUCAUUGCCAAAUAACCCCCCCUUCCUCCUCUUUCUCGCUCCCCUGGUCUCCUUCCAUUCCCUCUCCCAGCCAAACAAAGCACUUUCCAAGCCAGCCUUUGGCAAAGCAGCAAUGCCCGCUGACCCCAUCCCAAGGCUGCUCUCUCUAGAACCAACUGAAUCUGUCCUGCUUGGGCAGGGGACCCAGGUGGAUUUGGGUUCAGUUGGCCUCCCACAACCCA
rnacentral:lncRNA from 1 species